GACGAACGCUGGCGGCGUGCUUAACACAUGCAAGUCGAACGAUGAAGAAGAGAAACGCGAACUUCGGUUCAAAUUUCACUUCGGAUUAGUGGCAGACGGGUGAGUAACGCGUGAGCAACCUACCUCUUACAAAGGGAUAGCCUCGGGAAACCGUGAUUAAUACCAUAUGACACAUUCAUAAGGCAUCUUAAGAAUGUUAAAGCUACGGCGGUAAGAGAUGGGCUCGCGUCCCAUUAGCUAGUUGGUGAGGUAACGGCCCACCAAGGCGACGAUGGGUAACCGGCCUGAGAGGGUGAACGGUCACAUUGGAACUGAGACACGGUCCAAACUCCUACGGGAGGCAGCAGUGUGGAAUAUUGCACAAUGGAGGGAACUCUGAUGCAGCGACGCCGCGUGAGCGAUGAAGGAAUUCGUUUCGUAAAGCUCUGUUCUAUGGGAAGAAAAGGACUGUACCAUAGGAGAAAGCCCCGGCUAAAUACGUG
rnacentral:rRNA from 1 species